rnacentral:lncRNA from 1 species
UCUCCCGCUCGACUGACCGAGGUCUCCCUCCUUGCCGCCGUCUCCACCCACUGCCGCAUCCGCAGGUUGAGGGAGGGGCGAUCUUUUUGGUCCCUCUUUUCGCCUGUUUCAGCGUCCGUCAGCUCAUCUCUACCCUCUCUCUUCCGUCGGGUCGUGGCAUCCUUACUCUUCCUCUCACCGUUGGUCACUCCAAUCUUCUCCCUCUGCUUCCUUCCUUUGUCCCUUCACUGAUUCUCUCUCUCUCUCUCUCUCUCUCUCUCUGUCCUAAUCUCUCUUGAACCUGCACAGAAACUCGGCGUCCAACUGCCCAGAGGUGAAGGGCACAGGGUGCUUCGACGUAUCCGGCAUCUGCAACCUCUCCCGGUAUCUUACCGUAGUAUAUCUUUGCAGUGAUAAAUUUUGUAUCAAAUCUUUCUUGUGGCUGAGAGAAUUGGUUAACCUUUGGUGGUCGAAAACUUUGCUCAACUGCAGAAUUAACUGUUUUACCGUUGUGGAUUAUUUGAAUUUCUAUCAUAUCCUGAUAAAGACAUUUGAGCAUGAUGUUAAAACGUGAACCUCUUAAGAAAAGCCGAAAUACAUUAUUUCAUUCCAUUUUGUUAUUUUUCUCUUAAAAGAUGAUCCUGGUAUGUAAUUAGUUUAAUUACUUGGAUUGUUUAUUUUUUGUCGUUGUUGGCGGUUUCAGUAGCCAGAGGAAGGAAAGCAAGGAGCCAGUGGUGUCACGGGCGGCCAUAGGCUGUGGAAGAAGUGAGGGUGACGGGGGUGUUCGAUGGUGGUAGACUUUCUAUUCUUUUCUUCUUUUUUGCCACUACUCUUGGACUCAUCGUCUUGUUUAGACUUUGCUCCAAAUACUCUCCUCUUCUUUUUUUAUUUUAGACCUCGUCUCAUUAUCCUCAGUCUUAUUUCUGGCCCUGUUUAUUCUCUAUAUGGAGAGACUAUGUUUCUGGAGGAUGAUUGACAACAAUUUAAUUGCUAAUGAGAAUUUUGGAGGCGUGGGAGUAGUCAUUCAGCUUUGUGAAUGAUCUGCAUCUGACUUUAUCAUUUUCAAGUUCGUUCAUUUUAAAGUUAAAAAUACGUAUAUAUAUUCUUUGAAUAUUAUUUCUGUCUAAUGCUGAUUGCAAUCCGAGUCAUUUGAGUUUUUGCAGUUGGAAGUAAUGUUUCAUAUGCGUGUUUGGAAAAUUUCGUGUUACUUGCGCAUUAGUAGAAGAUUUCAUUUUCAGUAGUUAGAACUUUUUCAUCAUUACGAUGCCAGAAGAUUGAUCGCAUCACUUCAUUAUUCACAAUUAUCAUCUUUGAGGCUGAUGGAUUCGCUCAUCUUUUUGUGUUACAUCUGAUAGAAAAAUAAAAAAGCUUCCACUCAUCCAAGUCAAACCAUGCUUGGCCUUCAUGAUUCAGGUUCUCUCUUAAACCACAAUUUUAAUUUUAAUGGUUUGGAAGUUUUGGCUUGAGAAAUAUUAACUCUGUCCUACUGUA